CUAUUGAUCGCGCGAUGCACCAUUAGAAUCCAGUCGCUUCCAAAUCGCGGAUCAAGCUGAUUUUCCUGAUUGUCCUCGUCGCCCACGUCAAGCAAUUAUUUCCUAAUAUUUCAAUGCAGCAUGUAAAAUGCCUAUCGUGUACUCUCGAUGUCCGCACCGCUACCUUCCUCGCUCUGCUUCCACUCUCGGCUCUCCUCCAGCUUCUUUCCUCCACCGUUUCUUUUUCUCGAUAAGAAAAGGAGGAGUUUGCCUGCAUACCUCGAAGCUAUGCUACACAGAUGCAGGCAGAGCGUCAGAGAGAAACGAUGUACUUAUACGGACGCUGAGAAAAAAAGGAGAGAGGUUUGAUGACCUUUAUGCGCCGGGAGAGAUUAGGUGAAUUGUAGGCGCGCCAGUACAGAUAGACCAUGGGGGAUCAGCCAAUGUGGAAUAGCUUAAAGAAGAUAUAAGGCGAGUCGCGGUGGCGCCGUGCUCGAGAAUUUACACGACAUACCUCUGGCGAGUUACAGCACAUAAAUGGACAUAGGGUAAACGAAAAAGGAACAAAAAGAGAAAGUCGCGACGAAAGCUAUUGGACUACCUGAGACAUCCGAUCAUAAAUCACUUGUCAAAAUACACUUGAAUGUAAGAAACAGGACAUUCGGUCGACUCCACUUUUAAUAAUUGCCGAUGAUGAAUGAAUGACUGAGCCUAAGGCUCUAACGAGCCUGACAAUGAC